rnacentral:rRNA from 1 species
UUGGUGGCGAGUGGCGGACGGGUGAGUAAUAUAUCGGAACGUGCCCAGUAGCGGGGGAUAACUACUCGAAAGAGUGGCUAAUACCGCAUACGCCCUACGGGGGAAAGGGGGGGAUCGCAAGACCUCUCACUAUUGGAGCGGCCGAUAUCGGAUUAGCUAGUUGGUGGGGUAAAGGCUCACCAAGGCAACGAUCCGUAGCUGGUUUGAGAGGACGACCAGCCACACUGGGACUGAGACACGGCCCAGACUCCUACGGGAGGCAGCAGUGGGGAAUUUUGGACAAUGGGGGAAACCCUGAUCCAGCCAUCCCGCGUGUAUGAUGAAGGCCUUCGGGUUGUAAAGUACUUUUGGCAGAGAAGAAAAGGCAUCCCCUAAUACGGGAUGCUGCUGACGGUAUCUGCAGAAUAAGCACCGGCUAACUACGUGCCAGCAGCCGCGGUAAUACGUAGGGUGCAAGCGUUAAUCGGAAUUACUGGGCGUAAAGCGUGUGUAGGCGGUUCGGAAAGAAAGAUGUGAAAUCCCAGGGCUCAACCUUGGA